CUGCUUUCACUCCACUUCUGGCGUUCUGAGGUUUUAAGAUGCCUGAGCCAGCGAAGUCCGCUCCCGCCCCGAAGAAGGGCUCGAAGAAGGCGGUGACCAAGGCGCAGAAGAAGGACGGCAAGAAGCGCAAGCGCAGCCGCAAGGAGAGCUACUCGGUGUACGUGUACAAGGUGCUGAAGCAGGUGCACCCCGACACCGGCAUCUCGUCCAAGGCCAUGGGCAUCAUGAACUCGUUCGUCAACGACAUCUUCGAGCGCAUCGCGGGCGAGGCGUCGCGCCUGGCGCAUUACAACAAGCGCUCGACCAUCACGUCCCGGGAGAUCCAGACGGCCGUGCGCCUGCUGCUGCCCGGGGAGCUGGCCAAGCACGCCGUGUCCGAGGGCACCAAGGCCGUCACCAAGUACACCAGCUCCAAGUAGACUCGCCAACCCUGAAGGACCACCCUCUCACCAUCAGUGACCGUCUCCUUGGAAGGGGACAAAGUCACUGCCGUCCCGGGGCUCACAUCGUGGCUGGAGAAGACAGACAAUAAACAGUAGUUAUUAUACACAAUUAUACAGAAUGUGAGAAAGGAAAGGAGCCGACGGGUUUUAGACAUCUUUUCCCACCACUGCUCACUGCUAUCCACCGCGGCAUCUCUCGCAUAAAACAACAAGCGACGUUACGAGAAGAUAAAUGGAAAUAUUUUUAAUGAUCAUGGAAGGCUCAGUAAGAACCUGGCUAAAAUAUUUUUUUUUCUGAGUCUAAAAAUAUUAAAUGUUUAUUGUAGAAAUGUGUAAAAAGAAAAAUAUAUAAAGAAGAAAUUAAAAUAC